rnacentral:rRNA from 1 species
GAUGAACGCUGGCGGCGUGCUUAACACAUGCAAGUCGAACGAAGCACUCUAUUUGAUUUUCUUCGGAAAUGAAGAUUUUGUGACUGAGUGGCGGACGGGUGAGUAACGCGUGGGUAACCUGCCUCAUGCAGGGGGAUAACAGUUGGAAACGACUGCUAAUACCGCAUAAGCGCACAGGAUCGCAUGAUCCGGUGUGAAAAACUCCGGUGGUAUGAGAUGGACCCGCGUCUGAUUAGCCAGUUGGCAGGGUAACGGCCUACCAAAGCGACGAUCAGUAGCCGACCUGAGAGGGUGACCGGCCACAUUGGGACUGAGACACGGCCCAAACUCCUACGGGAGGCAGCAGUGGGGAAUAUUGCACAAUGGGGGAAACCCUGAUGCAGCGACGCCGCGUGAGCGAAGAAGUAUUUCGGUAUGUAAAGCUCUAUCAGCAGGGAAG